CGAGGCGCCAUCAUCAUUCUUUUUUCGUGCGCGGCAACAGACGCACACUUUCCCGGUUAAGCAAUUAGUGAUACUUAAUCAAGAUUAUAACAGUUAUGCCAAAAAGAAAAGGCAAGAAGUCGUCUUGUUUUGCUGAAAAUAAGCGGCGCAGAAUACGUGUUCUAUCGUCAGAUUCUUCGGAAGCGGACGAAAAUGCAGAUCCGAAAACUAUACCUGGCUAUGAACAACAGCUCGAGGAGGUACACGACGGUUUACUACCAGCGUCGCCCUCGCCGUGUGCGCCGACGCAAACGAUAAUUUCGUCAACUUCAGAUAAAGCUUCGGAUGAUGUACCUUACACACCUGAAUUACCACCGGAAAUUUUAUCCGCCCUUGGGGAUUCGACGGACGACAUCCCGGACUUCGGCGAGGAUAUUCAUCCUAAUCUAGCCCAAAGGUGGACCCCGAUUCUGCGCAAAGUAUUAGACGGCGACCUCAAGGCGAAGCUUAUGGCGGAGUACAAAAUACCCGCCAACUGCACGUUGCUCAAAUCGCCCACGAUAAAUCCCGAAAUUUCCGUUGCCAUCACGGGAGCGCUGAAAGCGCGGGACAAAAAGCUGGAGACAGCACAACACCAGCUGGGGCUGGGUAUCUCGGCCUUAAACAAAGCAAUGACCUUGUUGCUUACGAGCGAGGACAAAAUACAAGCAAUCAAAAUUUUAUCGGACUCAUGUCGCAUACUGUCCGAUUUGCACCAUAUUCGGACGGACCACCGGGUUAGUUUGCUAACUCCGAGCCUCGAUAAAUCAUUCCUCGAGAUAGUGGAAGGAAGAGAGAGAUCUUACUCUCUUCAGUAAAGAUCUGAGCGACAAAAUAAAGACCGCCAAGGCGAUCGAAAAACAAGGACUGCAGAUUAAGAAGAGUGUCCUAACGACAGCAACUUCGAUGUUUUCGGCAUCUACAUCUAGAGGACGCAGUCAGGGAAACUGGCCAGCUCCUCCCCACUUCUCUUCGAACAGGAGAGGGGGCCGGGGAGGAUACAGAGCGAACCCAACAGCAGCGAACCAGUACCCGCAACGCCGAGCGCCGCCGCCGCCGCCAGCCGGUACCGCAGAGCUGCGAGCCCCAAGAACAACCAACGUGCUCCUCGCCGUCACUAGUUCAGGGGCCGGGUACCGCCUCCGACUUCCCUGGCUGCCGGGAUUGUCUCCGGAUAGCCUUCUCUCGCCGGGACUUCCCGGACUCUGCACUGGAUUUGUUAUUAUCUUCCCUGUCUAAUAAUACUUUACGCCAGUAUGGCGUAACCUACAAAUUAUGGUGGGAUUAUUGUCAUAAGAACAACAUUGAUUUAUUUAAUUCUUCUAUAAAAUUAGUGUUAUCGUUUCUCACAGACCGAUUUAAUAAAAAUGAAUCAUACGGCUCCCUAAACAAUCACCGGUCAGCUCUUUCUAUUUUAUUAGAUGUAAAUAUUGGUCAAAAUUAUUUAGUGACGAGGUUUUUUAAAGGCGUUUAUAAAUUACGUCCUAAUAAUCCUAAGUAUUCAUAUACUUGGGAUCCGCAAAUCGUUCUUAAUACUAUUAUAUAUUAUAUUAUUCAAACUCGGAACUAUCCUUAGAAGUUUUGACUAAAAAAUUAGUUAUGUUACUGGCCUUGUGUACCGCACAUAGGGUGCAAACACUGUCCCUUAUGAAGCUUUCGAAUAUAAAAAUUUAUCCUAACGAAAUCAAAAUAAAUAUAACUGACAUAAUCAAAACUUCAAAAGCUGGUUCCGAGCAACCCAUAUUACGUCUCCCAUACUUCAGAGAAAAUCCUAAAAUUUGUCCUGCAAAAACUUUAGAGGAUUACAUGUCUGUCACUAGAAGUAUUCGACCUAUGAAUGUCGAUUCGCUCCUAGUGACUUACAAACGUCCCCACAAAGCUCCCACUGCGCAGUCGAUCAGUCGCUGGCUGAAGGACGUCCGCCGCGAGAGCGGCGUGGACGUGUCGGUGUUCAGCGCGCACAGCACGCGCCACGCCGCCACGUCCGCGGCGCGCGCCCACGGGGCCAGCCUCGACCUCAUCAGGCGGGCUGCCGGGUGGACGUCUCGAUGGCAGACUUUCGCAAAAUUUUAUAAUCGCCCUCUCGCUGACGGUGGAAGCUUUGCAGAGGCGGUUCUACUUUCGUGAUCGUAUUAUCUAUAGUUGAUUCAUUGAUGUU